UUGGCGGACGCUAUUUUAUUGGUCUUACCAAACUAAUCGACCAAACCGUCCAAUUGGCCUAACUAAGAAAUAAAAUCCUCUCUCUCACUCAAUUCUCCCUCAAACUAUUCAUUUUCCUCAGAUCUGGUAUUUCGUUAUUUCUCUCGCGUCAUCGCCGCUUCUCUCUCUGAGCAUCAUCGCCGUCUUCAAGUAUCACCGCCGCUUCUUUAUCAGGAUCCUCUUGUGAAGCCUGCACCAAAGAAGCAGAGUGAGUCUUCAUCAAAGUAGAUCUGUUUCGUUUGCUUGGGUUUGAUAGGAUGACUUUGGAAAGGUUGAAGAUUGAAAAUUUGUAAUAUUGAAGAAGAAAUGAAUUCUUUCUAAUGUAUUAGAUAGAUUUUUGUUAUUACUUAUUUAAGUAAGGUUGUAAAUU